rnacentral:ncRNA from 1 species
AAAAUCUCAAAGGGGUGCUUUUUAAGUUUUAAAUGUAAAAGGCUGAGAUCAUACCCGAUGAACCUGGGCGAGUAAUGUUGCCAAGGGACUGUGGAACCAAAAAAG